GAUGAACGCUGGCGGAGUGCCUAACACAUGCAAGUCGAGCGGCAGCGCGAGUAGUUUACUACUUGGCGGCGAGCGGCGGACGGCUGAGUAACGCAUGGGAACAUGCCCCCAAAGUGAGGAAUAACUGCCCGAAAGGGUAGCUAAUGCCGCAUACGAUCUUCGGAUUAAAGGAUUUAUCCGCUUUGGGAGUGGCCUGCGUACGAUUAGAUAGUUGGUGAGGUAAUGGCUCACCAAGUCUACGAUCGUUAACUGGUUUGAGAGGAUGAUCAGUCAGACUGGAACUGAGACACGGUCCAGACUCCUACGGGAGGCAGCAGUGAGGAAUCUUCCACAAUGGACGAAAGUCUGAUGGAGCAACUCCGCGUGCAGGAUGAAGGCCUUCGGGUCGUAAACUGCUUUAUGAGUGAAG
rnacentral:rRNA from 1 species